rnacentral:rRNA from 1 species
GAUGAACGCUGGCGGCAUGCCUAAUACAUGCAAGUCGAGCGAACAGACGAGGAGCUUGCUCCUCUGACGUUAGCGGCGGACGGGUGAGUAACACGUGGAUAACCUACCUAUAAGACUGGGAUAACUUCGGGAAACCGGAGCUAAUACCGGAUAAUAUAUUGAACCGCAUGGUUCAAUAGUGAAAGACGGUUUUGCUGUCACUUAUAGAUGGAUCCGCGCCGCAUUAGCUAGUUGGUAAGGUAACGGCUUACCAAGGCAACGAUGCAUAGCCGACCUGAGAGGGUGAUCGGCCACACUGGAACGGAGACACGGUCCAGACUCCUACGGGAGGCAGCAGUAGGGAAUCUUCCGCAAUGGGCGAAAGCCUGACGGAGCAACGCCGCGUGAGUGAUGAAGGUCUUCGGAUCGUAAAACUCUGUUAUUAGGGAAGAACAAAUGUGUAAGUAACUAUGCACGUCUUGACGGUACCUAAUCAGAAAGCCACGGCUAACUACGUG